AUUGAGGCUCCUGUGCUGUUUCGAGGGAUUGGGCAUGCGGCCAAUCCAUCCAACAGCUUGGUUUUAAAGGUUCUAUCUGCCUCGCCAUCAGCGUAUUCAGCAAACCCGGAGGCUAAGUUGGCAUCUGUUCCAUCUCUCACUGGGUCGGCCAUAUCGCUGGUUUCUGUUAUGCAGGCUAGGAAUAAUGCUCGUGUGUUGAUAUCUGGAUCACUGGAUUUGUUUAGCAACAGGUUCCUAAAGUCUGGUGUGCAGAAGGCUGGCAGCAAAAUGAGCCAUGACAAAGCUGGAAAUGAACAAUUUGUGACAGAGACGAGCAAAUGGGUCUUCCAUGAGAGGGGUCAUCUGAAGGCAGUGAAUGUCAAGCACCAUAAGGUUGGGGAGACAAAUGAGCCUAGCAUGUACCGCAUCAAUGAUGACUUGGAAUACUCAGUUGAGAUAUAUGAAUGGUCUGGUACAAGCUGGAAGCCAUAUGUUGCUGAUGAUGUUCAGAUUCAGUUUUUCAUGAUGAGCCCUUAUGUUCUGAAAAAUAUGUCAACUGACAAAACUGCUGUAUAUUCAGCAUCCUUCAAAGUUCCAGAUGUUUAUGGAGUUUUCCAGUUCAAGGUUGAGUACCAAAGGCUUGGAUACACUGGCCUCUCUCUUGCAAAGCAGAUUCCAGUGCGUCCAUACAGGCAUGACGAGUAUGAGAGGUUCAUAACUUCAGCGUUUCCGUACUAUGCUGCCUCAUUUUCAACAAUGGGAGCCUUCUUCAUAUUCUCGGUUGCGUACCUGUAUCACAAAUAGAUAGCUCAUCGAGUAGUGGAAGUAAAUCAAGGUGGCGAUGGAAUUGUGAUGUCACAAGCCUGGUGAUCUUAGGUGCAAUUUUAUGGAACCAUAUUUUUGUAGCGCCAAUCUGUAGUACCUUUAUUUUUAAGAAAUGGGCUUCUCCCUGCCCCCAACCUUUAUUAACAUUUUUGCUAAUUUUCAGUUGACUGAUUUUGAUUUGGCUUUAAGCCAAAUUUGUGGCCGUCUGAUUUCAGCACGGAUCUCAGCGUGCUGUGUGCCUGCCAUCCUCGUGCGUGUGUGAUGGCUUUUAUUGGGUUCCGGGUUUGGUCUUCCCACCUGUU
rnacentral:lncRNA from 1 species